rnacentral:rRNA from 1 species
CAGCAGCCGCGGGAAUACGAAGGGGGCUAGCGUUGUUCGGAUUUACUGGGCGUAAAGCGCACGUAGGCGGACUUUUAAGUCAGGGGUGAAAUCCCGGGGCUCAACCCCGGAACUGCCUUUGAUACUGGAAGUCUUGAGUAUGGUAGAGGUGAGUGGAAUUCCGAGUGUAGAGGUGAAAUUCGUAGAUAUUCGGAGGAACACCAGUGGCGAAGGCGGCUCACUGGACCAUUACUGACGCUGAGGUGCGAAAGCGUGGGGAGCAAACAGGAUUAGAGACCCCAUAGUCCCUGUCUCUUAUACA